rnacentral:lncRNA from 1 species
CAGGUUGCGUACAAACUUUUACGCGUUUGCAGUUUUAAGAACGCGCCUGGAAAUUACAUCAACAGUUUCGAGUUGUCUGCUUGUCACUUGUCAGUUUGUUUUUUUCCAAAAGUCAGACAAGAGUUAAUUGCUGGUUAAUUGAGGCUCAAAAGUCAAAAUAGGCGUUGUUUGUGAAAAAUAUUUUGUCUUUGAAUCAAAUUGUUACACCAGUUAAAGGAAACAGGAGUUUAUCAUCAGAAGAGAUUAAGCAUUAUCAUUCAUCAGUACUACAACCAGGUGGUAUUGGAUGUCAAAUGAAUUUUAGAAUGCUUCCCUCCAGGUAUUAAUGAAAAUAUUCAAGCAGACCUCAAAGUAAAAGUCACAGAGCUGAUAAUAAGAGUUCUGAUAGCAAAUGAAGGUCUCCAUUACUAUCAGGGUUUUCACGAUAUUGCCAUCACACUGUUAUUGCUUGUUUUAGGAGAAGAGAAAAGUCACAGUGUGUCAUGCAGACUUUCCCAAUCACAUUUCCAACUGUUUAUGGGACCAGAUAUGGAGCCUACAAUGAAAAUGUAUGCACUAGUCAAAAAUGAAAAUCGUGAUUUGUACAAUUAUUUGAUGAGGUUGGAGCUAGGGACAAUUUUCUGCCUUCCGUGGGCGAUUACUUGGUUUGGCCAUGUUCUCAACGAUUAGGAAACUGUCGUAAGAUUGUUUGAUGUAUUUAUGUUCUCACAUCCAUGGACCUCUAUGUAUCUAUCUGUUGUCGUCGUGUUGCAUAGCGCAAGUGAUAUUUUCUUGACACCGUGUGAGAUGCCGCUUCUACAUCAAAUGCUCUCCAACGUCCCUGAUAAUCUACCAUUUGAUAGUCUUAUUACUGAAACAGAAAAGUUGAUGCGAACCUAUCCACCAGAUGUAAUGGAAACAGUUGUCCGAGAGAUGCACGCUGAAAAUAUUCGUAAGAUAAAGGAAGAGGACGAAGAGAGGAAAAGGAGAAUGGAACAGAGAAAGGCUGCUUUACAAGGGAAACAUAAAAAAGCGGCGAUUCAACGUUGGACUCCUUGGUCUGGAUUCAGAAAUUUAAGAUCCCAAACUGCGAAGGUUGUUGCACUUAGCGUAAGCGUUGCAACAUUCGCAUUUAUUUAUAACUAUUUUGAAGUUCCAUUUGUCAUGUUUAAAUGCUUGUCAUACCCAAUAAUUAAGAAAAACAGAAAAUUUCAUAAUAUUGAAUAUUGUGCCUGUUGUGUUCCUCUUCUGUUAAAGAGCAUUCCUAUAUUUCAAAUUUUAUGAAUGUGAAAAAUGUAAUUAAAUAAACUGGUUUGUAUUCAUUA